rnacentral:rRNA from 1 species
CAGUCGCCACGGGAAUACGUAGGGUGCAAGCGUUGUCCGGAAUCAUUGGGCGUAAAGCGCGCGUAGGUGGCCAUUUAAGUCCGCUGUGAAAGUCAAAGGCUCAACCUUUGAAAGCCGGUGGAUACUGGAUGGCUAGAGUACGGAAGAGGCGAGUGGAAUUCCUGGUGUAGCGGUGGAAUGCGCAGAUAUCAGGAGGAACACCAAUAGCGAAGGCAGCUCGCUGGGACGUUACUGACACUGAGGCGCGAAAGCGUGGGGAGCGAACAGGAUUAGAUACCCCUGUAGUCCCUGUCUCUUAUAC